ensembl:snRNA U6 U6 spliceosomal RNA
CUGCUCACUUUGGUAGCACAUAUGCUAAAACUAGAAUGAUACAGAAAAGAUUACAUUGGCAAGGAUGGUAAACAAAUUUGUGAAGCAUUCCAUAUUAUU